GAUGAACGCUGGCGGCGUGCCUAAUACAUGCAAGUCGAGCGAACGGACGAGAAUCUUUCUUCUCUGAUGUUAGCGGCGGACGGGUGAGUAACACGUGGAUAACCUCCCUAUAAGACUGGGAUAACUUCGGGAAACCGUAGCUAAUACCGGAUAAUAUUUUGAACCUCAUGGUUCAAAAGUGAAAGACGGUCUUGCUGUCACUUAUAGAUGGAUCCGCUCUGCAUUAGCUAGUUGUUAAGGUAACGGCUUACCAAGGCAACGAUGCAUAGCCGACCUGAGAGGGGGAUCGGCCACACUGGAAGUGAGACACGGACCAGAGUCCUACGGGAGGCAGCAGUAGGGAAGCUUACGCAAUGGGCGAAAGCCUGACGGAGCAACGCCGCGUGAGUGAUGAAGGUCUUCGGAUCGUAAAACUCUGUUAUUAGUGAAGAACAUAUGUGUAAGUAACUGUGCACAUCUUGACGGUACCUAAUCAGAAAGCCACGGCUAACUACGUG
rnacentral:rRNA from 1 species